ACUACUCACACAAGCCUAACCCUCACUCUCUUCUUUGGUUUUUCAUUCAUGGGUGGGUUACCAGCUAAUUGCAGCGAGGAGAGUUCUCCUCAAAAGCAGCAGCAACGCUAAAAUGCAAACAACAUGCCUAGGCCUAACCUUAAUGUGCUCCUUCCACAACCCCAAUUCCCCAUCAAUAGGCCUGAUGAGAUUAUUCUGAUCCCUAAUAAUUUUCGAGAUCCAUACUUAAGCAGUGAUGAUAGUGAUAGAUAUGAAAGUGAUGAGUAUUUUGGAGAUGAAGAUUCUGAAGACAGCAAACAAGAAAAGGUGGUGGAUUAUUAGUUUAAUAAUAAGUCUAUCAAUUCAAUAAUAAUCUCUUUCCUAUAAAUAUUUUUAAAUAGAUAUUAUUUUAACUAUGGUUUUGCAUGGUGCCAUUUAGGUGAAACAGGAGAUCAGGCAACUGAAACUCCCGCUUUUUUUAAGUCAGGAACUAACCAAUAUGAUGAUGUGGUUUAUCUUGCAACCCAACCAAAUCUACUAUUUAUCCUUUAUAUAAAUAUUAAUAUUUGAUAAUCGAUGAUGUAGAAAUUUUUUGACAGUGUACCAAAUGAUUAUACAUCAUUAAAAAAACAUAAAUUUUUUUAUAACAUAUUAUCAUUUGAUUGAUUGAGUAAUUAAAUAUUAAUCCUGAUUAUAAAUUAUAAUUUAUUUCCAAGUUCUAACUAUAUGUUUGUUUCCUUUUCCUUUUGGGUUCUUAUUUCUGCCUACUUGUUACACCUCUCGACAGUAGGGUGCAGGAGCUUCAACAUGAAAUCUCUCAAAUUGGUCAAGAGAUUGAAAACCUGGAGAGGAGAAUGGGCCGGUUAAACCCUUAACAGAUAACAACUUGUGGAGCAUGAUGGGUGAUUUGAAAGAUGAUCUCGAAGAGCACAUUGAUGUUCUGCUAUAGUAGUUCUAGCAAUGGAAUAAGGCAAAAAAAGUUGUUUCUUUUCAAUCCUUUUGUUUGGUUGGGUGUUUCUAAUCAUUUUGUCUUUGUUUUGCUUUCUUCUUGGGUCUAAAGUCUUUUGUAUGUCGGCUUCGAUCGGUUUUCAUCAUUUUGUCUUUGUUUUGCUUUGUUUCUGGGUCUUAAAGUCUUCUGUAAGAGACUAAUAUUUAUGAAUAAAAGGUCGUUCAUCAAGACAA